CAGCCCUUGACAUGGGACUCGCCGGGAGCAGAGACGCUCCCUUCGGUUCGGCUGGACCGGAGACAGGUGCUGCAUGGCUGUCGUCAGCUCGUGUCGUGAGAUGUUGGGUUAAGUCCCACAACAAGCGCAACCCCCGUCCUUAGUUGCUACCAUUUAGUUGAGCACUCUAAGGAGACUGCCGGUGAUAAGCCGCGAGGAAGGUGGGGAUGACGUCAAGUCCUCAUGGCCCUUACGGGCUGGGCUACACACGUGCUACAAUGGCGGUGACAAUGGGAUGCUAAGGGGCGACCCUUCGCAAAUCUCAAAAAGCCGUCUCAGUUCGGAUUGGGCUCUGCAACUCGAGCCCAUGAAGUUGGAAUCGCUAGUAAUCGUGGAUCAGCACGCCACGGUGAAUA
rnacentral:rRNA from 1 species